ensembl:lncRNA
UGUGUCUAAGAAAGUUAACUAUGUGUGUAAUGUGUUUUAUAAAUUGAAAACUUAAAAGAAUGACAAUUAGCUUAUAGUGUUGCAGAUUUGGUGUGGGUUUUCCUGUUUGAGUGGCAUCUUCAGAGAUCGUGCGAUAUAUAAAUAUUUUGAUAUAAUUUAAUAUUUUGUGUGUAGGUAGUUGAAAAUAACUGAACUGUAAAUGCUCUCCCUGGCUCUCUGCUUUCUCGCGCCUAGGUACAUUUACAUUUUACAUUUAGUCAUUUAGCAGACGCUUUUGUCCAAAGCGACGUACAAGGGAGAGAAUAUUCAAGCUACGAGCAAUAGAACCUGGUGUAACAAUAAAUAAAUACUACUUUACAUAAGAAAUAUAACAAAAUGAAAUAAAAAAGAAAGAAAGGUAAUGUAUAUAGGACUACUAGGCAAAGGGCAAUAGGUAAUGUAUAUAGCACCACUAGGCAAAGGGGCAAUCCUGGGCAAUCACUCUGCUUCAUCCAAGCCCUCCCUGAAGGACCCCCCUGAGAUAUGGGCACCUGGCCUGCAUUCACCGCCGCUACGCUACUUGCUGUAAUUUGAAUACGGAUCAGCGUGGUUCCCCUGCAGUGUUCCAGUGCGCUGGAGCCAACCAUCACAGGGGGGACAAUAAUUUGACUGAUGAACAAUCAGGUUAUCGCAAGGUCAUCAGCUCAUCACCAAGAGGUCUAGUGCU